rnacentral:rRNA from 1 species
UACAGAGACUGCAAGCGUUGUUCGGAUUUACUGGGCGUAAAGGGUGCGCAGGCGGCCGGAUGUGUCGGGUGUGAAAGUUCGAGGCUCAACCUCGAAAUUGCGCCCGAAACUAUUCGGCUAGAGUACUGGAGAGGGAAGCGGAAUUCACGGUGUAGCAGUGAAAUGCGUAGAUAUCGUGAGGAACACCAGUGGCGAAGGCGGCUUCCUGGACAGUUACUGACGCUCAGGCACGAAAGCGUGGGGAGCAAAAGGG